CCUACGGGUGGCAGCAGUGGGGAAUAUUGGGCAAUGGGCGCAAGCCUGACCCAGCAACGCCGCGUGAAGGCAGAAGGCUUUCGGGUUGUAAACUUCUUUUGUCAGGGAAGAGUAGAAGACGGUACCUGACGAAUAAGCCACGGCUAACUACGUGCCAGCAGCCGCGGUAAUGCGUAGGUGGCAAGCGUUAUCCGGAUUUACUGGGUGUAAAGGGCGUGUAGGCGGGAGUGCACGUCAGAUGUGAAAACUAUGGGCUCAACCCAUAGCCUGAGUUUGAAACUGUACUUCUUGAGUGCUGUAGAGGCAAUCGGAAUUCCGUGUGUAGCGGUGAAAUGCGUAGAUAUACGGAGGAACACCAGUGGCGAAGGCGGAUUGCUGGACAGUAACUGACGCUGAGGCGCGAAAGCGUGGGGAGCAAACAGGAUUAGAUACCCGAGUAGUC
rnacentral:rRNA from 1 species